UACAGAGGUCUCAAGCGUUGUUCGGAUUCAUUGGGCGUAAAGGGUGUGUAGGUGGCGCGCUAAGUCGGGUGUGAAAUUUCGGAGCUUAACUCGGGAACUGCGCUUGAUACUGUCGAGCUAGAGUGUGGAAGGGGCGAUUGGAAUUCCGUGUGUAGCGGUGAAAUGCGUAGAUAUACGGAGGAACACCAGGGGCGAAGGCGGAUCGCUGGGCCAACACUGACGCUGAGGUGCGAAAGCGUGGGGAGCAAACAGG
rnacentral:rRNA from 1 species